UUGGAGGGCAAGUCUGGUGCCAGCAGCCGCGGUAAUUCCAGCUCCAAUAGCGUAUAUUAAAGUUGUUGCAGUUAAAAAGCUCGUAGUUGAAUUUCGGGGUUAGUAGGCUGGUCAUGCCACCGGUAUGUACUGGUCUUACUGAUUCCUCCUUCCUGAUGAACUGUAAUGCCAUUAAUUUGGUGUUGCAGGGAAUCUGGACUGUUACUUUGAAAAAAUUAGAGUGUUUAAAGCAGGCUAACGCUUGAAUACAUUAGCAUGGAAUAAUGAAAUAGGACGUUCGAUCCUAUUUUGUUGGUUUCUAGGAUCGACGUAAUGAUUAAUAGGGAUAGUUGGGGGCAUUAGUAUUCAAUUGUCAGAGGUGAAAUUCUUGGAUUUAUUGAAGACUAACUACUGCGAAAGCAUUUGCCAAGGAUGUUUUCAUUAAUCAAGAACGAAAGUUAGGGGAUCGAAGACGAUCAGAUACCGUCGUAGUCUUAACCAUAAACUAUGCCGACUAGGGAUCGGAUGAUGUUAAUUUUUUAAUGACUCAUUCGGCGCCUUACGGGAAAC
rnacentral:rRNA from 2 species